CCUGUGGCGGAAAAUCUGUGGAAGAUGGUUGGGAUUCAGGCCAAACUCAUCAGGGAUAUAUAAGAGUCCAUCUGGAAAUCUGCCCACCGUGGAAAGCUUGAGCUGGAUGACACUGCAAGCUGUUUUUCUCCCUGGAAGACCUUUCCAUCACAGGCGACAAGGCUCUUGCCCAGUCUGCCAAAACACUCAAUGCAACGACAGGAUGUAGAGUGAAGGUCGAACUGCAGUUACAUCUUGAUCUUUAUAGGUUGUAACUUUUUUGGGCAUCAGCAAAGUCCAGCUGAUACUUCAAGACAAUGAACUCCCCUUAGUUUACCUCCUGAGAC
ensembl:lncRNA